rnacentral:rRNA from 1 species
GAUGAACGCUGGCGGCGUGCCUAAUACAUGCAAGUCGAGCGAACAGACGAGGAGCUUGCUACACUGACGUUAGCGGCGGACGGGUGAGUAACACGUGGAUAACCUACCUAUAUGACUGGGAUAACUUCGGGAAACCGGAGCUAAUACCGGAUAAUCUAUUGAACCGCAUGGUUCAAUAGUGAAAGACGGUAUUGCUGUCACUUAUAGAUGGACCUGCGCCGCAUUAGCUAGUUGGUAAGGUAACGGCUUACCAAGGCAACGAUGCGUAGCCGACCUGAGAGGGGAAUCGGCCACACGGGAACGGAGGCACGGUCCGGACUCCUACGGGAGGCAGCAGUAGGGAAUCUGCCGCAAUGGGCGAAAGCCGGACGGAGCAACGCCGCGUGGGUGAUGAAGGUCUUCGGAUCUUAAAACUCUGUUAAUAGGGAAGAACAAAUGUGUGAGUAACUAUGCGCGUCUUGACGGUACCUAAACAGAAAGCCACGGCUAACUACGUG